UUAUGGAGAUGAUGAUGAACUCUC
rnacentral:siRNA from 1 species